CCCGACGGUUUUCAUGGAGUCACAGACAUGCGGGGGCGAUGGGGGGUCGGUGCAGCGCCCUGCGCGGAGGCCGGGCCCAGUGACCCUGGCCCAGCCCUGGCCGGACUUUGUCCAGCCUGUUUUGAAACGUUUCCAGGGAGGGGGACUCGACAGCCCCCUUGGGGGCCUGGCCCAGAGCCCCGGGUGCAAAGCGGCUCUCAACGAGCCCCUGAGCCCGUUCUCUCCUGUCCGCCUCCGCGGGGGGGAAUAGGGCGACCAGACAGCAAAUGUGAAAAAUCAGGACAGGGAGUGGGGGGUAAUAGGAGCCUAUAUAAGAAAAAACCCCAAAAUCAGGACUGUCCCUAUAAAAUCGGGACAUCUGGUCACCCUAGGGGGGAACAACUGCUCCUCGAGCAGCCCUAAGCGGGAGCGCUGGGAGCCGGAGCCGGGCUCCCCUCCGCGCUCUUCUUGACACUAAACGUGCCCAGUGUUUGCAGCCCUUCUUCCCAGGCCAGCGUGGCUACACUUUUUUAUCGGUUUUGUCGCUUUCGUCUGGACUCUUUCCAAUGUGUCCACCUCUUUCCUCAGUCCUGGCGCCCAGAAUUGAACUGGGAGCUCCCCCUGGCUGGGGCUCCCCAGUGUCGAGCAGUUUUACUUACAACACGCCUGUUAACACACCCCGGAAUCAGAUGAGCCCUUUUUGCAGCUGCAUCACACUGACACCUCCUCUUCAGUUUGUGCCACAGGACCCUCUGUUGCUUUUCAGAGAUCCAGACUAACACGGCUACCCCUCUGAUACUAUUCUCUGAUUUGUCAUGGUCAGUUUGAGUUUUAAAUCUGCCCUCCAAGGUGCUUGCAACCUCUCCUAGCCUGGUGUCAUCUGCAAAUUUUAUCAGCAUGGUCUCUAGCUCCAGGGUGUGUGAACGGGGAGAGGAGUUAAACUGGUCCUGGCUUUGGUGCCCUCUCGUGCUUUGAGGCGCGUAGUUCUGAGUUCCCUGGGGGCUGGGUCCUGCUGUCCGGGGCAGGGCUUGGAAACUGUCUCUCCAGCCCCUCCAGCCUGGCGGUUUGGGGUCUGAUUGUCAGUUGGAGCUGGAGAGAAGCGCCCUGUUCCCUGGCCCAGCAUUGCCAGAGGCUUUCGCUGACUUCCUGCGCCUCAGUGUGUGGGGCCCAGUGUCAGGAACCUCUGGGAAGCGGGGCAAGGUCUCUCCAUUCAGGGCCCCCACACACGGAGGCCUGGGAAGUCAGUCCAGGCUGCCGGAGCCUGUCAGCAAUGGGGUGUAUUUAAUGGCAGCAGGGCCGAGAGCAAUGGAUGGGGUGUGAAACUGCUCAUCCCUGAGCUAGGGAGCAAGGGGUAUACUCUACUU